GACGAACGCUGGCGGCGUGCUUAACACAUGCAAGUCAAGGGGGCCCGAGUAGCAAUAACUGGGCGAACCGGCGAACGGGUGCGUAACACGUGAGCAACCUAACCGAAAUAGUGGGGGAGUAGCCGGCCUAACGGCCGAGUAAUACCGCAUACGCUCUCGAUGAGGCAUUUCAUUGAGAGGAAACCUACGGGACAUUUCGAGGGGCUCGCGGCCUAUCAGCUAGUUGGCGAGGUAACGGCUCACCAAGGCAACGACGGGUAGCUGGUCUGAGAGGAUGGCCAGCCACAUUGGGACUGAGAUACGGCCCAGACUCCUACGGGAGGCAGCAGUGGGGAACAUUGGACAAUGGGCGAAAGCCUGACGCAGCGACGCCGCGUGAGGGAUGACGGCCU
rnacentral:rRNA from 1 species